AGGACGAACGCUGGCGGCGUGCUUAACACAUGCAAGUCGAGCGGUAGGGCCUUUCGGGGUACACGAGCGGCGAACGGGUGAGUAACACGUGGGUGAUCUGCCCUGCACUCUGGGAUAAGCCUGGGAAACUGGGUCUAAUACCGGAUAUGACCUGCUCUCGCAUGGGGGGUGGGUGGAAAGAUUUAUCGGUGCAGGAUGGGCCCGCGGCCUAUCAGCUUGUUGGUGGGGUAAUGGCCUACCAAGGCGACGACGGGUAGCCGACCUGAGAGGGUGACCGGCCACACUGGGACUGAGACACGGCCCAGACUCCUACGGGAGGCAGCAGUGGGGAAUACUGCACAAUGGGCGAAAGCCUGAUGCAGCGACGCCGCGUGAGGAUGAAGGCCUUCGGGUUGUAAACCUCUUUCAGCAGGACGAAGCGCAAGUGACGGUACCUGCAGAAGAAGCACCGGCUAACUACGUGCCAGCAGCCGAC
rnacentral:rRNA from 1 species